rnacentral:rRNA from 1 species
UACGGGGGGGGCAAGCGUUGUUCGGAAUUACUGGGCGUAAAGGGCUCGUAGGUGGCCAACUAAGUCAUACGUGAAAUCCCUCGGCUUAACCGGGGAACUGCGUCUGAUACUGGAUGGCUUGAGGUUGGGAGAGGGAUGCGGAAUUCCAGGUGUAGCGGUGAAAUGCGUAGAUAUCUGGAGGAACACCGGGUGGCGAAGGCGGCUUCCUGGACCGACACUGACGCUGAGGCGCGAAAGCCAGGGGAGCAAACGGGG